UAGCUGUCUGCUCUCUGGCCUCAAGUGAUUUCUUCCUAAACCGGCUGCCCCCAAGGAUAUAACACUCUCUGCAUACCCUACUCCUGGUGGGUGCAGAAUGGGUCCAGCAGCUCGUGUUCCUGCACACCAUGCACCCCGCGUGUCUCGCUGCACAGCAGAGAGGGCAGGACACACUGGAGCCGCACUGCUGCAAGGCGGGUGUGGUGGAGAGGAUUGUGGAGUUCAUUGAGGAGCUGCCUGAUAACUCUCCACCCGGCGCCGUCCUCGCUAACUUCCUGAUUGCUGUGAGCAACCUCAGUUUCAUGUUCGUGUUGGUGCCAGUCCCACCCCCGCACUGCACAGUCUAAUACC